CUACUAGGGUUUCUAAUCCUGUUUGCUCCCCACGCUUUCGUGCAUGAGCGUCAGUGUCAGCCCAGAGACCUGCCUUCGCCAUCGGUAUUCCUCCUGAUAUCUACGCAUUUCACUGCUACACCAGGAAUUCCAGUCUCCUCUGCCGCACUCCAGCCUUGCAGUCCCAAAUGCCAUUCCCAGGUUAAGCCCGGGGAUUUCACAUCUGGCUUACAAAACCGCCUGCGCACGCUUUACGCCCAGUAAUUCCGAUUAACGCUCGCACCCUACGUAUUACCGCGGCUGCUGGCAC
rnacentral:rRNA from 1 species